CCAGGUAUUUUCUUCUUCGUAUUAAUAAUUUUGAGAUGCUGCUUCUGAACGUUCGAUACUUGCACAUCUAAUUCCCACUGUUUCCUACUAAGUGUUUUUCUUAUUUUUAUGUGUCUUUUUAGUAGCGGAACAUUAACAACUGCAACCCUCUGACAGAACCAGGCACUGAGAGCGUUAGAUUCUACAAGCAACCUCUGUUAGCAGUUAGCAACAACUGUUAGCAGUUCCAUUUGACAAGUUACACGGGAGAGCAUGGAGGGAAAUAGACAGGAAGAACUAACUUAGCCAGAGCAUCCAGAUCCGUUUGAGACUAUCACCUCUGUAAAAAACUCCUGCUGAUUCUGCAAGACAUUUAGUGUCCUCCUCCAACCUCCAAUAUACCACCAGAGACUUCAGAGCUACCUCACAAAAAUGUAAUUGCUUCCAUCUAGAGGAACAAGGACAAUCAAGGAGGAAAAAGUUUUUAGCCUGCUAAGUCUACUGCUUAACUGAGGAGGAUGUCAUUGAGUCUGUGCUUGACAAGUGGCAAGUGCCUGCAGUGACCCAAGUGAACGAGCAGCACACACGACGUCUGAGCAUGAAUUCUUUCUUCUUGGUGAACUUCCCAGAUGCACAUCUCAUUGCCCCACUGCCAUCCCUGUAGUUAUGUCCACUUUGAGACGGCAGCACACUUCUUUGGCCGCACAGUGCUGCUACCAUUUGUAGAGUAAACAAAGCAAGUAACCAUUUGACCCUAAAUAACAAGAACAUGCAUUAGUCACUGAACUACUCAAAGACGUGGUAUUUGACUCUUAACUUGUUAUAUCCAGGGAACUACAGAGCACUGCAGAUUUAAUAUGAGCGAUCUUGUUUGUCUUUGCAAGGGAGAGGCUUCAAAGAGGCAGAGAUCAGAAUUUUAUUCCUUCAGGUGGUAGUCAUGUGGGGACUCAGUGAAGGAGUCCUGGCUCAGCUCCUGGCAAAGAGGGGAGAAGCAUCCAAUCCAGUGGAGCCCAGAGACAGAGGACCACAUCUAGCCUUCCCUUUUCAAGGAAUUGCUUCUGGAAUUAAAAUUAUCAGCUUUGAAGAAUGAUGUAGGAUGGGGAACAAAACUGGAUGGAUCUUGAGGCCUUCCGGGAGGAAAAAAGAAAAAGAAAGGAAGAAAAAAACAAUUAAUGUCUUGGACUAGUGCAACUUACUAUAAAUGUUCUUGCAGGAGCAAGGCUAUGCACUCCUUCAGUGCAUCCAGAUGAGAGGCCUCAUGAGAGCAAAUUAAAUUAGAACAUUGCAUUGUUUCUGGGUUCAAAUGGAGAAAAAGGUGAAACUUAAGAAGGGCACUUUCUCCUGCUCCUCCCUGCCCCAACGUGAGAACUGUUGGCAGGCCAGCCUGUAAGAACUAGCCCUUUUAAAAACAUACAGUGUGCCUUCCUGCAUGCCCUCUUAAUGUGGCUUUUCCAUGAAGUUGGCAGGUUCUCAUAGCUUUCCCCAGUGCCAGUGCUGUAGCAAGGAAGAUAUUUUACUCCAUAAAGUAGGCAAAUUCCACGCUGGAGUCUGCCUGCCAACCCUGCUUGGUUUAGCCCUCAAACACCCGUGGUGGUUGUGCAUUUCCCUUGUUCUGACUGUCUGCAGCUCUAGCUGAAGCAUUUGUUUGUCUUGAGAUCUCUGCAUAACUAGGAGUUACAGCCUUCCCUGGCUGUAAAGCUGUCUCUCCUUAUGAUUUUGUGAAAGGCUGACUUGUUGCAUCAACUCCACUUUUCCUGCCCACAUAAAACCUUAUUUUGGAGCGUACUGGAGCACCUUACAUCCAAACCUAGGUCCCAAUCAAAGGGAGAGUUAAAUACUCAUCUAUUGACUUUGAGGGAACUGUUCAUGCACUUAAGUUUAAGCCUUGCAUGAUCUUGGUUCUUCCAAGAAUAUCUGCCUAGAAACAAGUGACUAUGGCUUCAAAGGUCUCGAUUCUCUGACUUCUCUGUGAAGCUGGCGCUUUGUGUUGAGAUGCAUUUCUUACUCUGAAACUUUACAAUCGAUGAGUGACAUCCUGACAGCAUGAAAGGCAGUGACAGAGCUCUUGUUGACUACAGUGAGAUAUUCUUUUGCUAUCAUCAUUUUAUAAGUACUUGUCAGGAUGUCCCAUUUUGCAACACAGAUUGCAAUGGCUAGACUGAAAAGCCGGUCCGAGAUUUCUGAGUCAACUAGUGCUGCAUUCCAAAUUUUUUUUACUGGAAAGAAUUGGGGGAAUUGGUUGGCAUAAUCACCUUUGCUUGUAUAGCUUUUAAGUCUACGAUUUUUUUUCAUUAUGUUUCUGAGUGGGUAUGCAAAGUACCGACAGCCAAACAAAAAUUGCCUUUCACUGGCACGUCUACAUCAAAGCCAGUCUCCACAUACUUCACUAACAAGAAAAUACUCCUGGUAUUCAUACUUUUGAGGUACAAAACCAUUUUUAUCUCAGGAUGAAAUAUUGUGUAUGAUGUUUGCUAAUGAUGGGUGGAGCUAAUAUUUCCUUAGGGACAAAGCCAUCACACCAGUGCUGAUGGAAAACUCAUUACAAGGUGGGGAAUGGCACUGGCCACCAAGCAGGGUGGUGUGUGGAGGUUCAUACAUGGACUCAUCAGCUCUAGAGCAGGGCAAGCCGCUGUGCUCAUGCAGCAACUCUUCUCUGCCUGCUGCUGCACCAGAGGUCUGUUGCAUUAAAUAGGGGUUAUAAAAGCAGAUGAGAAAGCAGACAAAUUAACCUGGGUGCUCACCCUCCAAGUGUAUGAAGCCAACAGAAUUUGGAGGAAAAUCUGACAGAUGCCAUGGUGGAACAGGGGAAAGCAGCUGAGGUGGUACAUAACAGUAGUAUCUUGGCAUGCUGACAGCUACAACGGUGCACACAUGUAUGUACUGGGCUUUCUAUAGAAAAUUGCUGACACAAAGGGCUCAUGGCAACCUUGCAGAGGGAUUCGGUGUUAGCUUCAGUGGGCUGUGAGGGAACCUAAAGGUCUCAACAAGCCUACACAAGCUUGAGUCACUGAAAAGAUAGGAGUGUGCAACUUUACUUAAGUUGCCUUCUGGUCCAGUAGCAACUGAGGUUCAUGACCAGAGUCCAGUCCUAUAUUCAUCUUUACCAAUGGUGCUUACAUGUAGAUUACUGUACUGCUUCUGAACUGGAGGCAUUGUAUGUUGACCUCAUUUACAAAUGGUAAGAAAAAUAACAAAAUAAACUCAUGGGAAAAACAAUGGAAGCAAUACCCAUCUGAGUGUGAGCAGAGUGACAUACCAACAGAGAGAGAAAAUAGAAAGAGAAGUGAAGGAGGUGGAGAAAAUACAUCAAACAGAGUGUGCCCCAUAUUCCUACCUGAAUGUUUCUUGGAGGACAAGGGGCGUUCUAGCCUUUCCCAUCGUGACAGAACCACUUCGCAGAAAACACAACACAGGAACAGUCAGCAAGAGUUUUUCCCUCAAGGGGCAAUGCUUAUAACCAGAAAUCAAAACAAGUUAAUAUAGAGGCAACACUGACAAAAAAAAGUACUACCAAAAAUCCCUGGCAUAGGACCACCUAGUUCAGUAAUAAAGUUUCGAUGUGUGGUAGCAUCCUUGUGCUCUCAUUUUCCUAGAAGAUGCCUUCCCAUAGCACUACAGACAGAUUAGACCUGACCUGAACGUUGAAGGAGAGGUGCUUAUUCUCUAGCCAUUGUGCUAGUAAGAGCCAUGCAAGAUCGUAGCCUCCCAGCCACACGCUGUGUCUAGCUGUUGAAUGAUUUAGAGGCACUGAUGUUCAAAGCAGCUCAGUCAGGCACCUGUGAAACUCAGCUCUUCUAUCUAGCACCAUUUUGAGGCAAAUGCUGCUAGUUCAUUUGGAUUGGCAAUACUUCACUCAGAUAAUUCAUUAUUGUAAAACAUAUCUAAUUACUGAACUAGCAGAUAGCUGGAGUGAUUCUUGUCCUAACUCCCAGUAGUUUUUUCCCAAUCAUAAUUGGUAUCAAAUAGUUUCAGUCCACCUUUCAUGUUUGUGCACACCAUAUCUUAAUGGUGUCUUUAAUUUGUUUUCCCUGUCCCAUUUCAGAAACAGGAGAAAGCAUUCUAGAGAUAGGCUCGCCAAUUAAAUGUUCAAAUCCAUAGAGAUAUGUGUUAUAUUACCCAUGCAGUUUCCUAUGUUGAAAGGAACUAAUUUAGGAAAAAUUGUUGUAUUUUGGGCAUGUUCGUCCCUGCAUGCAUGAGAUGAACCUCACAAACCUACUGGUUGAAUGUACAUUUCUUGUAACUGAAAUUAUCCCUGGCAAUAACCUGUAUCCAGACUUGCAUACUUAACCCAUUUCCAUGCAUUUAGCUGUUUCUGCUUAUAAAUUCAUGUGUAUAAUGAAGCCCAGCCCAGUAUUCACUCUAUAAGUAUGCUGACAGACAGGUGGAACUGUGAUGACCUUGUUCAUGUUGGUGGGCAUUGACUUAGGUCAUUAUAGCUGCUGAGAAAGUGCUUGCCAACAUGUAUUACAGCUCCACAGUCUAGCCUCACAUAAUCAGGUUCUGCUUGUAUGCAGUUGGAGGCAUCCACAAUGAAGCAUUUCCAUUCCCUGAAAAGCAGAGCUGCAUGGGGAAUCAAGCAAGCAGAUAUUUUUACUCAUACAAUUUUCGCUUUGCCAGAAAGCUCAUUGGGUUUUAUUUGGUUUUUGUUUGCCUGUUUGUUUGUUUUUUAUGAGAAUGUCUGUAGGGAAAAGUCAUUUCCACUUAAACUUUUUUUUUUUUUUUUUUCCCCCAGAUUUUGGUAGUAAAUGCAAACAAUUCAAUGAAGAUAAAGAUUCUGCUUGGUAUAUGUUGCACAAGAAAUAUGAAAAAUUUCUAUUAAAACAUAUUCAUUUGAAAUUGGAAGGUGAAGGGGUUCCUGUCAACUAUAAUGUGAAAGACUAGGAGGAUUUGUCCUUAAGGAAGUAACACUUCCCCCAUCAGUUAGCACUCUGUGUGGUAAGGAAAGGAAACAGAAGAGGGUGCAUGGUCACAGCUUCUCCACUCAUCCACGCACGCCUGUUACACCUGCAUGUGUGGAUGCAGAGAUGUCAAGCUCUAAAUUAUACCCAUCCCAUCAGAACAGCCGAGCUUUGAGAACCACCCCACACUGACUGUCGUGAAUGUGAUCCUUUCUUAUAACCUUGACAGGGUUUGAUACAAGACCCUUCUUAGGAUGAGUACGCACAGCGUUGCUAACUUUGAAUAUCACUUUGGGAGGGCAGACAGGGAGAGACUUCACUUUUUUUGAUAAGUCAGCAUCUUAUUUCAUUAUUAUUAAUGAACUAAUGCAUUCACAGUGUGUCUUAAAAGUAAGUUUAAAAAUUCUUCUCAGCUGCUUGUAGCUGGCUACUGAGGAGUUGAACAGGUGCAGGAAAAACCAUGAGUGUGAACAUACAGGACUGAGUGCCAUUUUGAGCACAGAUUCAGAUGUAUGACAACAGUGAGAACAGGCCAGAAAAUUGAAAGCCGUGUGAACAUUAAAAAGCUAGUCAUGAUGACUGGCUUUGGGGGAUCCCUGAGCUGGUUCACAGGGUACCCAUAGGCACAGGGAUGGUUCUGUGUAGGUAUCUAUAAGCGCAUGCUGCAGAAAAUGCAGUUUGAUCUCCUGUUUGGCCACCAACUUCCACUGUAGCUUGGAAAGAGAUGUUGUUCCUUGAUGUGCAUCAUUUUUUUACCUGUAAGACCAUUCAGCAUCUUGCCCAAGAAAAGACCCAGCUGAUGAAACAUUGGCACUCUUUUUGUAGAAUACCAACUAUUUUUUAAAAUAUUGUUUUGACCUCUUUUGUCCUCCAGCUUUUUUCAGAGCUUUUACAGUGACACUGAAGUAAGUGCAGGGUGUGGUUUUGUCAGGUUGUUGUCCCUGCUCUGAGGUUUGUAGGGGCAGCCUGCUUCCUCGUGGCAGUAUGCUUUGCCACUGGAACUCAUUGCUUUCUUUUGCAAAACUUCUGUGUUCUUGGAGAAAUUUUGUGGAUUGCUAGCUAGUCAGUUUUCACUCUGAACAGGUAUGUGCAUGUGUGAAACAAAGAGGGGAAUAAUAUCCUACAAAAUUCAAAGGUUUCAGUAUGACAAUUGUCCUAGUCCACUUUGACACUCCUUUAUGUGUGGUGAAGUACUAUUUUAGCAUAACGAUAAGAUGAAGGUCAAUUCACUUCAGGUGAAUUCACUUUUAGAAGCCUUCAUUUUCUCACUAGCUAUGGAUGCAGAGGUAAUACGACAAGGAUGCUAGCGACAGGCUAUUUCAGCAUUUACUCUUUCCCAGCACCUGGCGCAUCCUGUUCAUCUUUGUCCUCUGUAUUAAGCUCUGUGAAAGACUGUUAGAAAACAGUUGUGGUGCUGGGACCUGAUGAAGUCAGAGGAUGCUGCUGUAUCUUCAUUUCAACCAGAGAUUUUAUGAAAAUAUUAAAGAGUUGUUUCUUAUCUCUGACUAAAUCCGAGGUUUCAUUCUCCAGCACCGUCAAACCAACAUCUUUCUUUAGUAUAAUGUAUACGUGCCUUUACAAAUAUUUUAAAAACAUUCAUCCCUCAUGUGUUGUAACGGAAAACUAACCAUUAAGAUCAAACUUCCUUGCUUGUUCUCCAAGGGUGGAAUUCAAUUAUGCAGAGGAACAAAACAAGGUUUAUGUACCAUCCAAGUGCUUCACAGUCCUAUUUGUGCUGACUCUUUACAAAUGGGUAAACCCUACCACAAAGAAAUAAUUUCUGGGUGAUGUCUGAGUGCCACAAUCAAUUAAAUUUUGUCUGUAGGACCCCUGUCAGUAUUGUAUGGGGAAGAUGGAAGAUAUGCCAAGUGGAGUUUUAUGCCCAGUGGGCCUGGCUCCUGCCCAGCUGAAGUCAGUGGAACUUUUGCCACUCCUUCCAAAAUCAACAGGAUGGCUCCUCCACUUGCUCCCUAUUUCUCUUGCUAAAGCACAGUUUUCUGAUAUUUUCAGGCACUUGUGCUCAUCAGCUUGGAAUCCACACAAGGUUGGGUUUCAUAACAAAAGGCAGCCCUCAUUCUUUUAAAUUUGAGUAGACAGAAGAGAGCAAGGUGAGUCAUUUUUUUUUUUCCUUGCUAAUCUUGAUGGGAUGCUACAGGUUUGCCAAAGAUUACUUGAGUUUUCCUUGGCUAAGGUGUAAGUGAAGACUGCAGCAGUUUGAAGCAAACCCGGGUGGUGUUUUUGUAGGUUUUCCUCUUAAUUCACUGGAAAGGACAAAAUGCACAUGCCUCACUCUCCCAGUGCCGCUCCCUCAGCUGUUUGCAUUUUAGCAGUGUCACCUACUUAAAAAUACUUUGUAUGACCCUCAGUAAAUGAUUUCUCUUAGUCCAAAGCAAUGGGUUGUUCCAGAAAGGUUCCUGUCUCCUCGUAGAGAGCUUACAGCACCUUGCAGACCUGACACAGAGCCUUCAAAGUAAAUAGAAAGUCUCUUAAUGACCUCAAGGAUUUAGAUAGUGAGCCCUGUGGACUGCACGAGACAGGUAACACCAUCAAAAGCACCCAAUAACUACUGUCGGUCCAUAGGUCUUAGUCUCCAAAUCGCUUGGAUGACUCUGAAAAUAUUUAUCCCAGGGCUGGUUAUGCAUUUUCAGCAGUACAGAGCACACGAAUGGUACUCAAUGAAUAAUAUAAAGUUUAUUCUAAGUACAAAAAUCUCUCUUUUCAGGAAAAUGAUCAUUUUAUGCUUUGCUAUUUCUUUUGUGUCAAUCUCUUUGUAAGCAUC